AUGGAGUUGUUGGCCUCAAAUGUUGAGAACAGCUGAGGGGCAGGUAGGAACUAUGACUAUCUCAAUUUUAUUCAUGAUGCAACUAAAGCUUAGAGAUUUAGUUAAAUAAUAAGACAAUGGUAGAGCUGAGACUGAAACUCAGGGAGUCUGAUUUUAAAGCUCAUUUUCUUAACCUCUAGGUUAUCAUGCCCCAGAGCUAGAAAUUUCCAGCCAUGCUUUUUUUAACAGACACUUAUGAGGCAUCAUGGUAGGUGAGGAAAUGAACAACAAAGACAAGAUUUCUCUGUCCUGAAAGCAGUCCAGUAAGGAUACAAACCAGAAUGUAGUCAUUACACACAGAAGAAUUUUGUACACACAACAAAAGCCUUUCCUUAGUGGUCUGAUCUGCUAGAGAGCAGAAAGCACCUGAUGAGGACACCUCGAGACCUCGCCUGUUCAGUUAUCAGCUCUCUGCCUACGAGAGAAUUGUUCUUCUAGAACCACUUCUAUCACCAUGGAAAGAUGCCAAAUGUCUGCUAGCUGAAGAAGAGGGUUAUAUACCACACAUCAGAAAGAAAACAAUGAUUUACAAUACAUGCUUGGAUUAGCUAAAAAAAUUCAUUCUUUCUGCCUUUCAGUUCUUAAAUUUCUAGCUCAGCAUGGUGGAUUGUCCCAGCAGCUGGGCGAUUCAAGGAAUGGGGCACUUCCAUCUGAAACAGACAGGCACAGAAGCCAAGAGAUCUAGCAGAGCCUCUAAAACCACAGAGAAGCCAGUAUAUAACCAG